ACGGAAGGCAGCAGUGGGGAAUAUUGCACAAUGGGGGAAACCCUGAUGCAGCGACGCCGCGUGAGUGAAGAAGUAUUUCGGUAUGUAAAGCUCUAUCAGCAGGGAAGAUAAUGACGGUACCUGACUAAGAAGCCCCGGCUAACUACGUGCCAGCAGCCGCGGUAAUACGUAGGGGGCAAGCGUUAUCCGGAUUUACUGGGUGUAAAGGGAGCGCAGACGGCAAAGCAAGUCUGAAGUGAAAUCCCGGGGCUCAACCCCGGAACUGCUUUGGAAACUGUUUAGCUAGAGUGCAGGAGAGGCAAGUGGAAUUCCUAGUGUAGCGGUGAAAUGCGUAGAUAUUAGGAGGAACACCAGUGGCGAAGGCGACUUACUGGGCCGUAACUGACGCUGAGGCGCGAAAGCGUGGGGAGCGAACAGGAUUAGAUACCCUGGUA
rnacentral:rRNA from 1 species